rnacentral:rRNA from 1 species
AACGAACGCUGGCGGCAGGCCUAACACAUGCAAGUCGAGGGGAAGCUAUUUUCGGAUAGUGGAGACCGGCGCACGGGUGAGUAACGCGUGGGAACCUACCCUGGGGUGGGGGAUAACCGCUGGAAACGGCGGCUAAUACCGCAUACGCCUUGAGAGGGAAAGAUUUAUCGCCCUGGGACGGGCCCGCGUUGGAUUAGCUUGUUGGUGAGGUAAAGGCUCACCAAGGCUGCGAUCCAUAGCUGGUCUGAGAGGAUGAUCAGCCACACUGGGACUGAGACACGGCCCAGACUCCUACGGGAGGCAGCAGUGGGGAAUAUUGGACAAUGGGGGCAACCCUGAUCCAGCCAUGCCGCGUGCGUGAAGAAGGCCUUAGGGUUGUAAAGCGCUUUCACCGGUGAAGAUGAUGACGGUAGCCGGAGAAGAAGCCCCGGCUAACUCCGUG